rnacentral:rRNA from 1 species
CUUGGUCAUUUAGAGGAAGUAAAAGUCGUAACAAGGUUUCUGUAGGUGAACCUGCAGAAGGAUCAUUAUUCAUACAAAAGGAGUGCACUUCAUUGUGGCUCUGAACCUUUUAUACAAUUAUACCCUAAAGCUUGUUUGUGUGGUGUCUUUUUUAUAAGUGCCAUUGCACUCAGGUAUACGUAACAGUUAUGUUACAUUGUCCCCCCACCUCAUUUUUUUUUUUUUGAAUCAACACAAGUAUAAACCAAGAAUGUAAAAAUUAAUUAUUAUAAAAAUAACUUUUAGCAAUGGAUCUCUAGGCUCUCAUAUCGAUGAAGAACACAGUGAAAUGUGAUAAGUAAUGUGAAUUGCAGAAUUCAGUGAAUCAUUGAAUCUUUGAACGCACCUUGCACCUUUUGGUAUUCCAAAAGGUACACCUGUUUGAGUGUCAUGA